UCGUAGCAGGAAGAAAGAAGAAAUAAAACAGAAAUAAUCAAAUACAUGGAUCAGCCAAAAAAGGACUCACCUCCAUGGGGAAUGCAAACUUCACUAUGAGAAAAGCGAAGACAAAUUAUAAGAAGAGAUCACACCCUCAACCUUCGUACACGCAAUCUCUCCCUCAUAGGAAAUUCUCUCUCACAAAAGGUCUCUCUUUAGGAAGACCCCCUAAACUCCUGAAACAACCGCUGUCCACUGUCCAAC
rnacentral:lncRNA from 1 species